rnacentral:rRNA from 1 species
UACGUAGGGUGCGAGCGUUGUCCGGAAUUACUGGGCGUAAAGAGCUCGUAGGUGGUUUGUCGCGUUGUUCGUGAAAUCCCACGGCUUAACUGUGGGCGUGCGGGCGAUACGGGCAGACUGGAGUACUGCAGGGGAGACUGGAAUUCCUGGUGUAGCGGUGGAAUGCGCAGAUAUCAGGAGGAACACCGGUGGCGAAGGCGGGUCUCUGGGCAGUAGCUGACACUGAGGCGCGACAGCGUGGGGAGCAAACAGG